rnacentral:rRNA from 1 species
CGCAUCUGUGCAUGCAGCAUAUCAAUAGCGGAGGAAAAGAAACUAACAAGGAUUCCCCUAGUAACGGCGAGUGAAGCGGGAAGAGCUCAAAUUUGAAAUCUUAAAGGGUUUCCCUUUACGAAUUGUAGUUUAAAGAAGUGUUUUCUGUUGAGGUUUUGGUAAAAGUUCUUUGGAAUAGGACAUCAUAGAGGGUGAGAAUCCCGUAUUUGACCUUUACUUUCAACUUUGUGAUACACUUUCAAAGAGUCGGAUUGUUUGGGAAUGCAGUCCAAAAUGGGUGGUAAAUUUCAUCUAAAGCUAAAUAUUGGCGAGAGACCGAUAGCGAACAAGUACCGUGAGGGAAAGAUGAAAAGAACUUUGAAAAGAGAGUUAAACAGUACGUGAAAUUGUCAAAAGGGAAGCGUUUGACACCAGUGUUGUUUCUCUGAAAAUCAAUUAAAGAACUGUUUAUGCUAAGCUGUUUAGACUUUAUCAGCUAACUGUUUAGUUUUGAGCUUUUCUUUAAUGCACUUUUCAGUUAACAAGUCAACAUCAAUUUCUUUUGCUGUAAAAAAGCUUGAGGAAGGUGGCUUGAGAUUCGUCUUAAGUGUUUAUAGCCUCUUGCCUAUGCAGUCGGAGAGAUUGAGGUCUGCAGCGUAGAUCCUUCGGGGCUAAAUGCAUUUGUGCUAAGUUAUAGCAUUUUAUAGACAACUUGUUGACUAUGAUUUGUCUUGUAGCUUACUCGCUUAUGUUAUUUUACCUACGCUUAGGAUGUUGAGCGCAUGUCUCUCUCU